rnacentral:rRNA from 1 species
GACGAACGCUGGCGGCGUGCUUAACACAUGCAAGUCGAACGGAAAGGCCCUGCUUUUGUGGGGUGCUCGAGUGGCGAACGGGUGAGUAACACGUGAGUAACCUGCCCUUGACUUUGGGAUAACUUCAGGAAACUGGGGCUAAUACCGGAUAGGAGCUCCUGCUGCAUGGUGGGGGUUGGAAAGUUUCGGCGGUUGGGGAUGGACUCGCGGCUUAUCAGCUUGUUGGUGGGGUAGUGGCUUACCAAGGCUUUGACGGGUAGCCGGUCUGAGGGGGUGACCGGCCACAUUGGGACUGAGAUACGGCCCAGACUCCUACGGGAGGCAGCAGCGGGGAAUAUUGCACAAUGGGCGGAAGCCUGAUGCAGCAACGCCGCGUGCGGGAUGACGGCCUUCGGGUUGUAAACCGCUUUCGCCUGUGACGAAGCGUGAGUGACGGUAAUGGGUAAAGAAGCACCGGCUAACUACGUG